rnacentral:misc_RNA from 1 species
UGGUAAUCUUAUGAUUUUCCUGAUGUCAGAACUGCUAUAUGUUAUGUUUGCAUUGCUUCAUAAAAAGGAGGAAAGGAAUCAAUUAACAUGACUCAGAGAGAAAAAGAAUGAAAAAGAAGGAGAAUAAAACUAGAAAAUUGUUUCUUUAACAUUGGACAUCAUCAAUAAGAAGGGUUCAGAAAUUUUGUUCUUGUUUAAAUUUUUUAUAGAUGUACCGAAAGAUAUGCUUUCCACACACAAUCUGGAACUACAGCCAAGCCAUCAAGUUAUUCUGUUUAGGGUGUUGUUCUUGAGUCAAUAGUGCAAAUACUUGUG